rnacentral:rRNA from 1 species
AACGAACGCUGGCGGCAUGCCUAACACAUGCAAGUCGAACGAAGCCUUCGGGCUUAGUGGCGCACGGGUGCGUAACGCGUGGGAAUCUGCCCGUGGGUUCGGAAUAACAGUUAGAAAUGACUGCUAAUACCGGAUGAUGUCUUCGGACCAAAGAUUUAUCGCCCAAGGAUGAGCCCGCGUAGGAUUAGGUAGUUGGUGGGGUAAUGGCCCACCAAGCCGACGAUACUUAGCUGGUCUGAGAGGAUGAUCAGCCACACUGGGACUGAGACACGGCCCAUACUCCUACGGGAGGCAGCAGUGGGGAAUAUUGGACAAUGGGCGAAAGCCUGAUCCAGCAAUGCCGCGUGAGUGAUGAAGGCCUUAGGGUUGUAAAGCUCUUUUACCAGGGAUGAUAAUGACUGUACCUGGAGAAUAAGCUCCGGCUAACUCCGUGCCAGCCGCCGCAGUAACAC